rnacentral:tRNA from 1 species
ACCUUGACGGUCCAGUGGGUAAGACGCUGCUCUCCCAAUGCAGAGGACACAGGUUCGAUUCCUGGUGGGGGAA